AACAAGUUGGGCAAACAUCUGUCAGGGAUGGUCUAGUUUUACUUGUUCCUAACAUAGCACAGUGGGCUGGACUUGAUGACUUCUCAGGGUCCCUUUGUCUGACAUUUCUGUGACUUCUCUUCUGCUGCAAAUCACUUCCUCCUUGCGCUUUCUUCUCUCUCCUACAUUGUCUCAGUCAUUGAUUAUUUAACCUUCUCCAAUCAACCCCACGUCUGACUCAUCCACUAGUUAUUUGAAUAAACAUAAUGGUUUCUCUGUUACCUUGUCCUUAGUCUCCUGAUUUGUUUGCUGCACGUUUGUGUUGUCUUUUAUUCUAUGCUAAGAAGAUGUAAACACUUUAGGGCAGGGACAUGUAUAGCACUUUGCACAAUGGGAGCCUGUUGUAGGGUCACACCCUAGACUCGAGCUUUGCAGUGUAGAUGCAGUCUGUCUCCUUCCCCUCCACGACUGGUGAGCAGGGGGUCUGCUAUAAAUUUCCCUCAAUGCCAUGGGCCAACUUCCUUUGUCUUUUUAAUCCCAAGAAUCUCAAUUGACUCCACUGAAAACGGAAGCAAGCCCCCUGGGUGAACUGCAGCAGCGUAGUGAGUCAGCAUUAAGCCUUCCAUUGUCUUCUGAUUACUGAGUGGCAAACACACCAUUGGAGAGCCUUCUGUGUUUGCAAUGGAGACUGAGCAGAACAAGCCUUUUGCAAAGUGUACUGCUUGCUGGUCACAGGAGCAAAGCCAGAUUCUGGUAAAUCUCUGAUGCGAGGCCAGUAAAACAAUGGACUUCAGUAAGAGUACCAGGAAUGAUCACACAUACCAGCAAAUAGCGAAGAAGCUGGCAGCAUUGCAAAUGUACCAGACUAGUGCAGGGAGUGCAUUAACCAUCUCAAGAGUGAGUACAGGAAAACCAGGGACCAGAACUGCACCUUGGGCAAGUUGCCAACAUUGUGCCCAUUUUACGAGGCAUUUGACGAAGUGCUGGGCUUUGCACCGAGCAUGCAGCCAGUGGUGGUGUAUGAGAUCUAAUCAGCUGAAAUGGCGCCCUACUGGCCCCAGCAUCCAGCAUGGGGAGUGAUAGGAGCCAGCCGCAGGCACAGAGUGAGGCCGGCAAAGUGACUCUGUUACUGAAACUAGUUUACAGGAGGCUCUUCUGCAGGAUAUCUUGGCGCCAUACUUAGCGGAGCUGUUUGAUGUCCCACUUCCUUCCCCCAGGAUCAGCCCACCGCAGAGCCUGUAGCAGAUACAGAUGGACAGAAGCCACUCUGGAGUCUGACUCUUCAACCUCUACUGGCCGCAGUACCUCCACAGCUCGCCCACAGUUCAGUAGAAGUCUGGCCUAAUGUACCUUCACAGACUGUUCCAAGAUAUGUUUCCUGAUGAUCUUACAGGGCCAACAAACAGGUCCAUUGUCAAAAACAGAGGGACUUAUGGCUAGAGAAGAGGCAUCCCGAGAGAAAAGGCUGAGGCUGGCUGCACGGUUUGAGGACAGGGUUUCAGUGCAGGAAUAGGCACUAGGUUUGCAGUUCCUUGAACAGGAACGGUGUCUAAGGAAGGAAGACAAGUCAGCAGAGAGAAUUGUUUGAGCUGUUGAUAUCGAUAAUGGCUGCAGGAGUACCGGCUCCUGCUGUAUCACUCACAGCACAACCUGAGUCCUCAGAAACAGCCUGGAAAACUCCAUGGCUGGUUGGCCCAUGCAGUCGGGCCGCAUGAGCAGCUGGGCAGGUCAUCUUAGCCUCAUGCAGUCCUCUGUCUUGACCCCCUCCCUGUGGAGGUUUCCACCCUCUCCCCUGGAUUCAAGUGUGUGACAUAUGGGGAAAGGAGAAUAGGGGGUCAGGAGACGUGCAACAAUGGGGGGAUUCUGUCUUGUACAUGGUUUCACUGUUUAUACUUGUUCAUAUACUUUUAAAAUAAUUCUGUUACUGGUGUGAUAGUGGCAGCUGACCUGCCUGGUAAUGGGUGAAUGUUGUACUUUUAUAAUACAUGUUUAUAAAUAAAGCAUCUUGUGUAAUCAA